GACGUAGGGGGCCAGCGUUGUUCGGAAUUACUGGGCGUAAAGCGUGCGCAGGCGGCUUUGCAAGACAGAUGUGAAAUCCCCGGGCUUAACCUGGGAACUGCAUUUGUGACUGCAUGGCUGGAGUGCGGCAGAGGGGGAUGGAAUUCCGCGUGUAGCAGUGAAAUGCGUAGAUAUGCGGAGGAACACCGAUGGCGAAGGCAAUCCCCUGGGCCUGCACUGACGCUCAUGCACGAAAGCGUGGGGAGCAAACAGG
rnacentral:rRNA from 1 species